CCAAUGACCCCGAGAUGCUGGCGGACCCCCGACCUGGCAGCAUCCCGGGGUCUUCCA
rfam:Kibdelosporangium phytohabitans strain KLBMP1111, complete genome.